rnacentral:lncRNA from 10 species
GGCUUGGAGCUUGUUGAGUAUUUAUUUUUGAAAACUAUUUUCUGGAAAAAUUCUCAUUAGCAAUACAAUAAUAUUACAGCCAAAUUUCAGCACUACCUAGCUGGAAAAUCUUAAACUACUUUAAAUUUCCUGAGGCUCUUGGAGAACAGUAAGAUUCUAUCACUCAAAUAUAUGAAUUGGCUAUUACAUGUCAGACAUGCUACAUUUCUUGCCAGGGAGAUUACAGCUGUGCCAACUCAGCUCCAAAAUCUUCAAUAGCUUUUCACAACUUAGCAAACAAAAUUUAGUACCUCUCUGACUUUAUUUCAAGGCCCUUCACAUUAUUUUCCUAUUUACCUUUCCAAAUUUUAAACGACAUCACACACACACUAUAUACUAUUUCUCAAACAAACCCUGCACUUUCUAAUAGCUGACUUGCCUUUAUUUAUUUAUUUUGAGAUGGAGUUUCACUCUUGUUGCCCAGGCUGGAGUGCAAUACAGUGAUCUUGGCUCACAACCUCUGCCUCCCAGAUUCAAGAGAUUCUCCUGUCUCAACCUCCCGAGCUGCUGGGAUUACAGGCAUGUACCACCACGCCUGGCUAAUUUUGAAUUUUUAGUAGAGAUGGGGUUUCCCCAUGUUGGUCAGGCUGGUCUCAAACUCCCGACCUCAAGUGAUCUGCCCGAUCAGCCUCCCAAAGUGCUGGGAUUACAGGCGUGAGCCACCGCACCCAGCCUGACUUGCCUUUAUUAACACCCUCCUAGUUGGAUGCUUAAUCAUUUCAUCUCUGGUUAUACUCAUCCUACCACCCACCCCUUAAAGGUCCAACUCUAAUGUCACAUGUUCAAUGAAACCUUUUAACAUUUAUUGUAAUAAGAACAUGAGAUCUACCCACUUAACACAUUUUUAAGUGUACACUAUUGUUGACUCUAGGUACAAUGUUGUACAGACCUCCAGUUUAUUCAUCUUGCGCAAUUGAAACUUUAUGCCCACUGAUUAGUAACUGCCCAUUUCCUCCUCCCUCCCAGCCCCUAGCAACCCGUAUUCCACUCUUUCAAUCUAUUUGAGAUAGCUCAUAUGAGUGGAAGUGACUAUUUUAGAUUCCUCAUAUAAAUAGAAAUAUGCAGUUUAUGUCUGUGACUGGCUUACUUCACUUAGCAUAAUGUCCUCAAGGUUCAUCCAUGUGGUUGCAUAUGCAGAAUAUCCUUGUUCUUAAGAGCUGAAUAGUAUUCCAUUGGAUACAUAUACUACAUUUUCUUUAUCCAUUAAUCUGUUGACGAAUAUUUAUUUCCUCUCGUGGCUACUGUAAAUAGUGCUGCAAUGAACAUAGGAGUGCUAAAACUUCAAGAUCCUGAUUUCAGUUCUUUUGGAUAAAUGUUCAGCAAGUGGGAUUGCUGAAUUGUAUGGUAUUUUAAUUUUUUAAGGAACAUUCAUACUGUUUUCCAUAAUGGCUGCACCUAUUCCUGCCAACAUUGUGCAAGGAUUCCAAUUUAUUUAUAUCCUCACCAAUACUAGUUGUCUUUUUUUUUUUGAUAGCCAUCCUGAAAGGUGUGAAGUGACUGAUACCUCAUAGUGGUUUUGAUUUGCAUUUCCUUGAUGCCUAGUGACACUGAACUUUUUUUUCAUGUAUCUGUUGGCCAUCUGUUUGGAGAAAUGUCUAUUCAAGUUCUUAGCACAUUUAAAAAAACAUUUUUAAUUUAAUUUUUUUCUGCAUCAUUUAGACUGUUUUUAAUUGGGCAGAUAUUUUUUACUAUCAGUUGUGGGAGUUUCUCAUAUAUUUUUGGGAUUCAUUCCUUAUCAUUUAUUUGGUUCUGCAAAUACUUUCUCCCAUUCCUUAGAUUUCCUUUUCACUCAGUUGUUUCCUUUGCUGUACAGAAGCUUUUUAGUUUGAUGUAGUCCCACCUGUCUUAUUUUCUGUUGUUGGCUGUGCUUUUGACGUCACAUCCACGAAAUUACUAAGAAUGAUGUGGUGAAGCUUCCCCUCAUGUUUUCUUCCAGGAGAUUUACAUUUUUUGGUCUUAUGUCUAAGUCUCCAAUUCAUUUUGAGUUUUUUUCUUUUUUAUGGUAGAAGAUAGGGGUCCAAUUUCAUCUUUUUUCAUGUGAAUACCUAGUUCUUCCAACAUCAUUUGUUGCAGAAAACAUUCCUUCCUUAUUGUGCAUUCUUGGCAUCCCUGAAGAUCAGUUGACCAUAUUAUUUGCAUGUUUUUAUUUGUGGGCUCUCUAUUCUGCUCCUUUGGUCUGUAUGUCUCUUUAAGCUAGUCCCAUACUGUUUUGGUUAUUGUAGCUCUGUAAAAUAUUUUGAUAUCAAGAAGUAUCAUGUCAGCUGGGUGCAGUGGCUCAUAUUUUCAAAUUUGAGAUGCUCAAUCUGUAUGGACAAUUUAACAAUACUGAGUGUUCCAAAUCCAUGAAGAUCUAUUGAGUGUCUUUAGUUUCUUUUUUCUUUUUUGAGACGGAGUCUCGCUCUGUCGCCCAGGCUCGAGUGCAGUGGUGCAAUCCAUGCUCACUGCAACCUCAGCCUCCCGAAUAGCUGGGACUACAGGAAUGGGCCACCAUAACCAGCUAAUUUUUGUAUUUUUUUCCGGAAGAGACAGGGUUUCACCAUGUUGUUCAGGCUGGUCUUGAACUCCUGACCUCAAGCAAUCCACCCGCCUCCGCCUCCCAAAGUGCUGGGAUUACAGGCGUGAGCCACUGUGCCCAGCCCAAUUUCUUUAAUGUUUUAUGGUUCUCAGUAUUGCAUGUCUCUCACCUAAGGAGGUGAAAGGUUAAGCCUAUUCCCAGUUACUUUAUUCUUUAUGGUGUCAAUAUAAAUGGGAUUGUUCUCCUAAUUUCCUUUCCAGAUAGUUCAUUGUUAG